GACGAACGCUGGCGGCGUGCUUAACACAUGCAAGUCGAACGGAAAGGCCCUGCUUUUGUGGGGUGCUCGAGUGGCGAACGGGUGAGUAACACGUGAGUAACCUGCCCUUGACUUUGGGAUAACUUCAGGAAACUGGGGCUAAUACCGGAUAGGAGCUCCUGCUGCAUGGUGGGGGUUGGAAAGUUUCGGCGGUUGGGGAUGGACUCGCGGCUUAUCAGCUUGUUGGUGGGGUAGUGGCUUACCAAGGCUUUGACGGGUAGCCGGCCUGAGAGGGUGACCGGCCACAUUGGGACUGAGAUACGGCCCAGACUCCUACGGGAGGCAGCAGUGGGGAAUAUUGCACAAUGGGCGGAAGCCUGAUGCAGCAACGCCGCGUGCGGGAUGACGGCCUUCGGGUUGUAAACCGCUUUCGCCUGUAACGAAGCGUGAGUGACAGUAAUGGGUAAAGAAGCACCGGCUAACUACGUG
rnacentral:rRNA from 1 species